rnacentral:rRNA from 1 species
GACGAACGCUGGCGGCGUGCCUAAUACAUGCAAGUAGAACGCACAGUUUAUACCGUAGCUUGCUACACCAUAGACUGUGAGUUGCGAACGGGUGAGUAACGCGUAGGUAACCUGCCUGGUAGCGGGGGAUAACUAUUGGAAACGAUAGCUAAUACCGCAUAAUAUUAAUUAUUGCAUGAUAAUUGAUUGAAAGGUGCAAUUGCACCACUACCAGAUGGACCUGCGUUGUAUUAGCUAGUAGGUGAGGUAACGGCUCACCUAGGCGACGAUACAUAGCCGACCUGAGAGGGUGAUCGGCCACACUGGGACUGAGACACGGCCCAGACUCCUACGGGAGGCAGCAGUAGGGAAUCUUCGGCAAUGGACGAAAGUCUGACCGAGCAACGCCGCGUGAGUGAAGAAGGUUUUCGGAUCGUAAAGCUCUGUUGUAAGAGAAGAACGGGUGUGAGAGGGAAAGUUCACACUGGA